AGUACGGCCGCAAGGUUAAAACUCAAAUGAAUUGACGGGGGCCCGCACAAGCGGUGGAGCAUGUGGUUUAAUUCGAUGCAACGCGAAGAACCUUACCUGGUCUUGACAUCCACAGAACUUUCCAGAGAUGGAUUGGUGCCUUCGGGAACUGUGAGACAGGUGCUGCAUGAAAGUCGUCAGCUCGUGUUGUGAAAUGUUGGGUUAAGUCCCGCAACGAGCGCAACCCUUAUCCUUUGUUGCCAGCGGUUAGGCCGGGAACUCAAAGGAGACUGCCAGUGAUAAACUGGAGGAAGGUGGGGAUGACGUCAAGUCAUCAUGGCCCUUACGACCAGGGCUACACACGUGCUACAAUGGCGCAUACAAAGAGAAGCGACCUCGCGAGAGCAAGCGGACCUCAUAAAGUGCGUCGGGGUCCGGAUUGGAGUCUGCAACUCGACUCCAUGAAGUCGGAAUCGCUAGUAAUCGUAGAUCAGCAUCCCCCAUAAUACGUUCCCGGGCCUUGUACACACCGCCCGCCCCCCCUUGGAGUGGGUUGCAAAAGAAGUAGGUAGC
rnacentral:rRNA from 1 species